AACGCACAUUGCGCCCCCUGGUAUUCCGGGGGGCAUGCCUGUCCGAGCGUCAUUACUGCCCUCAAGCGCGGCUUGUGUGUUGGGCCUUCGCCCCCCCCGGGGGCGUGCCCGAAAGGCAGUGGCGGCGCCGUGCCCGGUCCUCGAGCGUAUGGGGCUUUGUCACCCGCUCUGGAGGCCCGGCCGGCCGCCGCCGACCCGCCCAGACCUUUAACCGGUUGACCUCGGAUCAGGCAGGGAUACCCGCUGAACUUAA
rnacentral:misc_RNA from 1 species